rnacentral:rRNA from 1 species
AGCGAACGUUUGCGGCGGGCCUAACACAUGCAAGUCGAACGCACUAGCAAUAGUGAGUGGCGCACGGGUGCGUAACACGUGGGUAAUCAACCCUUCAGCUUGGGAUAACGACUUGAAAGGGUCGCUAAUACCGGAUACGGCGCGGGAGGCUUCGGCUUCUCACGAGAAAGCCUCGCAAGGGGCACUGAAGGACGAGCCUGCGGCCCAUCAGCUAGUUGGUGAGGUAAGAGCUCACCAAGGCGAAGACGGGUAGCUGGUCUGAGAGGAUGAUCAGCCACACUGGAACUGAGACACGGUCCAGACUCCUACGGGAGGCAGCAGUGGGGAAUAUUGCGCAAUGGGCGAAAGCCUGACGCAGCCACGCCGCGUGAGCGAUGAAGGCCUCGGUCGUAAGACUCUGUGGGGAGGAGACGAAGAAAGACCCGUGAAGAGCGGGCCGUUGACGGUAUCUCCUUAGCAAGCACCGGCGUAACUCCGUGCCAGCAGCCGCGGUAAUC